rnacentral:rRNA from 1 species
GGAGGAAAAGAAACCAACCGGGAUUGCCUCAGUAACGGCGAGUGAAGCGGCAAGAGCUCAAAUUUGAAAUCUGGCCCCUCCGGGGUCCGAGUUGUAAUUUGCAGAGGAUGCUUCGGGUGCGGCCCCUGUCUAAGUGCCCUGGAACGGGCCGUCAGAGAGGGUGAGAAUCCCGUCUUGGGCAGGGUGCCCGUGCCCGUGUGAAGCUCCUUCGACGAGUCGAGUUGUUUGGGAAUGCAGCUCAAAAUGGGUGGUAAAUUUCAUCUAAAGCUAAAUACCGGCCGGAGACCGAUAGCGCACAAGUAGAGUGAUCGAAAGAUGAAAAGCACUUUGAAAAGAGAGUUAAACAGCACGUGAAAUUGUUGAAAGGGAAGCGCUUGCAACCAGACUCGGCCUCGGGGUUCAGCCAGCAUUCGUGCUGGUGUACUUCCCCGGGGCCGGGCCAGCGUCGGUUUGGGCGGCCGGUCAAAGGCCCCAGGAAUGUAUCGUCCUCCGGGACGUCUUAUAGCCUGGGGUGCAAUGCGGCCAGCCUGGACCGAGGAACGCGCUUCGGCACGGACGCUGGCGUAAUGGUCGCAAACGACCCGUCUU